UACGGGGGGGGCAAGCGUUGUUCGGAAUUACUGGGCGUAAGGCUCGUAGGCGCCAACUAAGUCAGACGUGAAAUCCCUCGGCUUAACCGGGAACUGCGUCUGAUACUGGAUGGCUUGAGUGUGGAGAGGAUGCGGAAUUCCAGGUGUAGCGGUGAAUGCGCAGAUAUCAGGAGGAACACCGGUGGCGAAGGCGGACUCUGGCCGAUACUGACGCUGAGAGCGAAGCGUGGAGCAACAGG
rnacentral:rRNA from 1 species